AAUAAAGUGCCUGAUAAAAAGGGUUAUUCUGAUAGGAUAAAUUAUGUAGAAUUCUACCUUUAUUA
rnacentral:tRNA from 1 species